rnacentral:rRNA from 1 species
CCCUUAGAUGUCCUGGGCCGCACGCGUGCUACACUGAUGCAUACAGCGAGUACUCCCAGCUCCGAGAGGCUGCUGGUAAUCAGCAAUAUGCAUCGCGAUGGGGAUAGAUCUUUGGAAUUAUAGAUCUUGAACGAGGAAUUCCUAGUAAUCGCAGGUCAUCACCCUGCGUUGACUAAGUCCCUGCCCUUUGUACACACCGCCCGUCGCUCCUACCGAUUUCGAGUGAUCCGGUGAAUCAUUCGGACCGCGGCCCCUAGGCAUGCGGAAAGUCUAGUAAACCAUAUCACUUAGAGGAAGGAGAAGUCGUAACA